UACGUAGGGUGCGAGCGUUAAUCGGAAUUACUGGGCGUAAAGCGUGCGCAGGCGGUUCGACAAGUCCGAUGUGAAAGCCCCGGGCUCAACCUGGGAAUGGCAUUGGAAACUGGCGAGCUUGAGUGUGGCAGAGGGGGGUGGAAUUCCGCGUGUAGCAGUGAAAUGCGUAGAGAUGCGGAGGAACACCGAUGGCGAAGGCAGCCCCCUGGGCUGACACUGACGCUCAGGCACGAAAGCGUGGGGAGCAAAAGGG
rnacentral:rRNA from 1 species